CAGCAGCUGCGGGAAUACGGAGGGUGCAAGCGUUAAUCGGAAUUACUGGGCGUAAAGCGCACGCAGGCGGUCUGUCAAGUCGGAUGUGAAAUCCCCGGGCUCAACCUGGGAACUGCAUUCGAAACUGGCAGGCUAGAGUCUUGUAGAGGGGGGUAGAAUUCCAGGUGUAGCGGUGAAAUGCGUAGAGAUCUGGAGGAAUACCGGUGGCGAAGGCGGCCCCCUGGACAAAGACUGACGCUCAGGUGCGAAAGCGUGGGGAGCAAACAGGAUUAGAUACCCGCGUAGUCCCUGUCUCUUAUAC
rnacentral:rRNA from 1 species